rnacentral:rRNA from 1 species
AUUGAACGCUGGCGGCAGGCCUAACACAUGCAAGUCGAGCGCGCGGCGGACGGGUGAGUAAUGUCUGGGAAACUGCCUGAUGGAGGGGGAUAACUACUGGAAACGGUAGCUAAUACCGCAUACCAUCAGAUGUGCCCAGAUAGGAUUAGCUAGUAGGUGGGGUAACGGCUCACCUAGGCGACGAUCCCUAGCUGGUCUGAGAGGAUGACCAGCCAAACUGGAACUGAGACACGGUCCAGACUCCUACGGGUGGCAGCAGUGGGGAAUAUUGCACAAUGGGCGCAAGCCUGAUGCAGCCAUGCCGCGUGUGUGAAGAAGGCCUUCGGGUUGUAAAGCACUUUCAGCGGGGAGGCGUUACCUGCAGAAGACGCACCGUCUAACUCCGUGCCAGCCGCCGCGGUAAUUC